rnacentral:rRNA from 1 species
GGGUCAGUAGGUUGGUCGUGCCACCGGUACGUACUGGUCUCACUGAUUCCUCCUUCCUGAAGAACCGUAAGGCCAUUAAUUUGGUGUUGCGGGGAAACAGGACUGUUACUUUGAAAAAAUUAGAGUGUUUAAAGCAAGCUAACGCUUGAAUACAUUAGCAUGAAAUAAUGAAAUAGGACGAUCGAUCCUAUUUUGUUGGUUUCUAGGAUUGACGUA